rnacentral:rRNA from 1 species
UACGAAGGGGGCUAGCGUUGCUCGGAAUUACUGGGCGUAAAGCGCACGUAGGCGGCUUCUUAAGUCGGUGGUGAAAUCCUGGAGCUCAACUCCAGAACUGCCUUCGAUACUGAGAAGCUCGAGUCCGGGAGAGGUGGAUGGACGUAGCGAGUGUAGAGGUGAAAUUCGUAGAUAUUCGCAAGAACACCAGUGGCGAAGGCGGCUCACUGGCCCGGUACUGACGCUGAGGUGCGAAAGCGUGGGGAGCAAACAGG